CCGAGUUUACAACUCCCAAACCCCUGUGAACAUACCACUUGUUGCCUCGGCGGAUCAGCCCGCUCCCGGUAAAACGGGACGGCCCGCCAGAGGGCCCCUAAACUCUGUUUCUAUAUGUAACUUCUGAGUAAAACCAUAAAUAAAUCA
rnacentral:misc_RNA from 1 species